GAUGAACGCUGGCGGCGUGCCUAAUACAUGCAAGUCGAGCGAACAGACGAGGAGCUUGCUCCGCUGACGUUAGCGGCGGACGGGGGAGUAACACGUGGAUAACCUACCUAUAAGACUGGGAUAACUUCGGGAAACCGGAGCUAAUACCGGAUAAUAUAUUGAACCGCAUGGUUCAAUAGUGAAAGACGGUUUUGCUGUCACUUAUAGAUGGAUCCGCGCCGCAUUAGCUAGUUGGUAAGGUAACGGCUUACCAAGGCAACGAUGCGUAGCCGACCUGAGAGGGUGAUCGGCCACACUGGAACUGAGACACGGUCCAGACUCCUACGGGAGGCAGCAGUAGGGAAUCUUCCGCAAUGGGCGAAAGCCUGACGGAGCAACGCCGCGUGAGUGAUGAAGGUCUUCGGAUCGUAAAACUCUGUUAUUAGGGAAGAACAAAUGUGUAAGUAACUAUGCACGUCUUGACGGUACCUAAUCAGAAAGCCACGGCUAACUACGUG
rnacentral:rRNA from 1 species